rnacentral:rRNA from 1 species
UACGGGGGGUGCAAGCGUUAUUCGGAAUCACUGGGCGUAAAGCGCACGCAGGCGGCCGUUUAAGUCAGAUGUGAAAGCCCGGGGCUCAACCCCGGAAGUGCAUUUGAUACUAUUCGGCUUGAGUAUGGGAGAGGGAAGUGGAAUUCCUGGUGUAGAGGUGAAAUUCGUAGAUAUCAGGAGGAACACCGGUGGCGAAGGCGACUUCCUGGACCAAUACUGACGCUGAGGCGCGAAGGCGUGGGGAGCAAACAGG